rnacentral:tRNA from 1 species
GCCCAGGUGGCGGAAUAGGUAGACGCUACGGACUUAAAAUCCGUUGACCGGUAACGGUCGUGCCGGUUCGAUUCCGGCCCCGGGCA